rnacentral:rRNA from 1 species
UACAGAGGUCCCAAGCGUUGUUCGGAUUCACUGGGCGUAAAGGGUGCGUAGGUGGCGGGGUAAGUCGGAUGUGAAAGCUCGGAGCUCAACUCCGAAAUGGCAUUGGAAACUACCUUGCUCGAGGGUUGGAGGGGGGACUGGAAUGCUUGGUGUAGCAGUGAAAUGCGUAGAUAUCAAGCGGAACACCAGUGGCGAAGGCGAGUCCCUGGACAACUCCUGACACUGAGGCACGAAAGCAUGGGGAGCGAACGGG